UCCUGCGUGGUGAAUUCUGAGACUCGGGCACGGGCACACCAUCCCAAGAGGGCAGUAGACGCUGGGGAAAGUGUCACGGCAGCUGAAGGAGAGGGAGGGGGCCAGUGGAGGAUCCAGGCUCCUUCUGGCCCCUGGCUGCCUAAAGAUGAAGCGUCGCCCUGGCAGUGUUUGAAACACGGUCACUAAGGAGUGAAAUCGGCACGACCCUGGAGCUGGAGGACCCGGCGGGGUCAGGGCAGAUGAGGACGUCUUCAGGAACCUUCCCGGGAUGGGGGUGCACCCACAGGCUGGAGAAAGCCUUCCUUCCUGACCUCCCAGGAGCUGGAGCCCCGCAUCCUCUCAGCAGGUGACCCCCAAACCCUUCCCAACUUCACCCCUGCAGCUCCCUGGGACUGGAACCUUCCCCCUCCUUCCUGGUGGUCUCCACCUGAACAUCCCUGUGCAGGCUGCCUGCCCCCCACUCCCGAGGCAGAUCCAAGAUCUUGGCUCAGACC